rnacentral:rRNA from 1 species
GAUGAACGCUAGCGGCAAGCUUAAUACAUGCAAGUCGAGGGGCAGCAUGACUGUAGCAAUACAGUUGAUGGACCGGCAAACGGGUGCGGAACACGUACAGAACCUUCCUUCGAGCGGGGAAUAGCCCAGAGAAAUUUGGAUUAAUACCCCAUAGCAUUACGGAGUGGCAUCACUCUUUAAUUAAAGAUUUAUCACUUGAA